UUUCUUCAGCCUUACUCCAGGGACACUCUGGCUGAUAGUGUGCCUUGGCAUUGCCUGAGGAUAUAUCUGGCUCUUAUGUUAAGUAAGU